GAUGAACGCUGGCGGCGUGCCUAAUACAUGCAAGUCGAGCGAACAGACGAGGAGCUUGCUCCUCUGACGUUAGCGGCGGACGGGUGAGUAACACGUGGAUAACCUACCUAUAAGACUGGGAUAACUUCGGGAAACCGGAGCUAAUACCGGAUAAUAUAUUGAACCGCAUGGUUCAAUAGUGAAAGACGGUUUUGCUGUCACUUAUAGAUGGAUCCGCGCCGCAUUAGCUAGUUGGUAAGGUAACGGCUUACCAAGGCAACGAUGCGUAGCCGACCUGAGAGCAUGAUCGGCCACCCUGGCACUGAGACACGCUCCAGACUCCUACGGGAGGCAGCAGUAGGGACUCUUCCGCAAUGGGCGAAAGCCUGACGGAGCACCGCCACGUGAGUGAUGAAGGUCUUCGGCUCGUAAAACUCUGUUAUUAGGGAAGAACAAAUGUGUAAGUAACUAUGCACGUCUUGACGGUACCUAAUCAGAAAGCCACGGCUAACUACGUG
rnacentral:rRNA from 1 species